rnacentral:rRNA from 1 species
GACGAACGCUGGCGGCGUGCUUAACACAUGCAAGUCGAACGGUAAGGCCCUUCGGGGUACACGAGUGGCGAACGGGUGAGUAACACGUGGGUGAUCUGCCCUGCACUUCGGGAUAAGCCUGGGAAACUGGGUCUAAUAACGGAUAGGACUCCGGACUGCAUGGUCUGGGGUGGCAAGCUUUUGCGGUGUGGGAUGGGCCCGCGGCCUAUCAGCUUGGUGGUGGGGUGAUGGCCUACCAAGGCGACGACGGGUAGCCGGCCUGAGAGGGUGACCGGCCACACUGGGACUGAGAUACGGCCCAGACUCCUACGGGAGGCAGCAGUGGGGAAUAUUGCACAAUGGGCGCAAGCCUGAUGCAGCGACGCCGCGUGAGGGAUGACGGCCUUCGGGUUGUAAACCUCUUUCAGCAUCGACGAAGCGAAAGUGACGGUAGGUGCAGAAGAAGGACCGGCCAACUACGUGCCAGCCGCCGCAGUAA